GUGCUGCUUAGCAGGGGAAAGAUGGCGGUGACGGGCUGGUUGGAGAGUCUGCGGACAGCCCAGAAGACUGCGCUGCUGCAGGACGGGAGAAGGAAGGUUCACUAUUUAUUCCCAGACGGCAAGGAAAUGGCUGAAGAAUAUGACGAGAAGACGAGUGAACUACUUGUGCUAUUCAUUCCCACCCCCCACAAUGAUUGCUGCAUGUAUUCAUAGAGGAAAAAACUGAAGGCCCCACAACAAUGAUCGGAACAUCAAACCAGCCUGAGAAGAACACAGCAUGUCCAAGGGGGCUGAGGCUGAAGGGCAGGCCAUCCCCC
rnacentral:lncRNA from 1 species